rnacentral:rRNA from 1 species
CGAAUGGGUGAGUAACACGUUCUUAAUCUACCUUUUAGAUUGGAAUACCCAUUGGAAACAAUGGCUAAUGCCGGAUACGCAUGGAACCGCAUGGUUCCGUUGUGAAAGGCGCUGUAAGGCGCCACUAAAAGAUGAGGGUGCUGAACAUUAGUUAGUUGGUGAGGUAAUGGCCCACCAAGACUAUGAUGUUUAGCCGGGUCGAGAGACUAAACGGCCACAUUGGGACUGAGAUACGGCCCAAACUCCUACGGGAGGCAGCAGCA